GGGCGCUUAGCUCAGCCUGGUAGAGCACUCGCUUUGCAAGCGAGGGGCCGCGAGUUCGAAUCUCGCAGCGUCCA
rnacentral:tRNA from 1 species